GACGAACGCUGGCGGCGGGCCUAAUACAUGCAAGUCGAACGCACAGUUUAUACCGUAGCUUGCUACACCAUAGACUGUGAGUUGCGAACGGGUGAGUAACGCGUAGGUAACCUGCCUGGUAUCGGGGGAUAACUAUUGGAAACGAUAGCUAAUACCGCAUAAUAUUGAUUAUUGCAUGAUAAUUGAUCUAAAGAUUCUAUUGCAUCCCUACCAGAUGGAUCUGAGUUGGAUUAGCUAGUAGGUGAGGUAACGGCUCACCUAGUCGGCGAUACAUAGACGAGCUGAGAAGGUGGACGGGUCACAUGGGAAUGAGACAAGGCCCCGAAUCCUAAGGGAGGGCGCAGUAGGGGAAUUUUGGCCAUUGGCGGAAGGCUGGACGCGGAACGCCGCGGGGGGGGAGGAGGGUUUCGGAACGUAAAGGUCCGUUGUAAGGGAAGAACGGGCGUGAGAGUGGAAAGUUCACACUGUGACGGUAGCUAAACAGAAAGGGACGGCUAACUACGUG
rnacentral:rRNA from 1 species